rnacentral:rRNA from 1 species
GACGAACGCUGGCGGCGUGCUUAACACAUGCAAGUCGAACGGAAAGGCCCUGCUUUUGUGGGGUGCUCGAGUGGCGAACGGGUGAGUAACACGUGAGUAACCUGCCCCUGACUUUGGGAUAACUUCAGGAAACUGGGGCUAAUACCGGAUAGGAGCUCCUGCUGCAUGGUGGGGGUUGGAAAGUUUCGGCGGUUGGGGAUGGACUCGCGGCUUAUCAGCUUGUUGGUGGGGUAGUGGCUUACCAAGGCUUUGACGGGUAGCCGGCCUGAGAGGGUGGCCGGCCACAUUGGGACUGAGAUACGGCCCAGACUCCUACGGGAGGCAGCAGUGGGGAAUAUUGCACAAUGGGCGGAAGCCUGAUGCAGCAACGCCGCGUGCGGGAUGACGGCCUUCGGGUUGUAAACCGCUUUCGCCUGUGACGAAGCGUGAGUGACGGUAAUGGGUAAAGAAGCACCGGCCAACUACGUG